GUUAUGAUACAUUCUGUAAGUUUUCUUCCAAGUGGUGAUAUCCAUGGGAGGUAUUCCCUUUUCUAAGAUGAAAAGAAGGGGGAAUGGAGAGAGAGAAGGAGAGAAGGAGAAACUGGGAGGAGAUCAGGGAAGGGAAGAUGUGACUGGGAUGUAACAGUACAAGUAAAUUAAGUCGUUAAUUAAUAAUAAAAAAAAAGACUAUGAUACAUUAGAAAGAAAACUAGUAUUCUGACCUCUAAGUAGGCAGCUAUGAGAAAGGAAGAGUGACUCGCACUCUCAGUUGCAACCAUCAGGACAUGUGCUCCAGUUUUAUGUGAGGAAUAAGUGAAUAGAAAGAAAAAAUGCAUGAGGCAAGCUUCUAAUUAAUAGGUGCCUUUCUGUUCAGAGUGAUCUGGAAGAAAGAAGAUUGCUUGGAAAUUGUAGGAAAUAUGCAGUUACUAACGCAGAAACUCACAGUGUUCCUGGAGCUCAAGGAUAUUCACUGACAACUCUACACUGACCCAUUGACAAAUACAGCUUCUCAUUGUUAACUUGAAAACCUCAGGAACUUUGUAGAAAAUGCCGCACUUGUGAAAUAUGAAAUUAGCUCCAAAUAAACUUCAUUGAACUUAAUUAAUAGCACAUAUUUAAUGAAAACCAUCUUUUCCCUGCAGAUCUUGGACUGUUGCUCAAAGCCAUGUCUGAUAUUUAAGAUAAGAUCAAAUCUCUUAUUAUUGUAAAUUGUUUCACAUCAAAUCAAAGCACAGACAAAUGCUCAAAUCUGUCUCUGUCAAGCCAUUUUUAUCCAUCCCUAUCUCAGCUCUAUCCACUGUUGAAAUCCUACAAGCAAAAAGCUAUUCUGAUAGGAGGAAUUGCAUUCACACUUUUCAUUCAUUUGUUUGUUUAAUAAACAUUUGUAACAGAUAUAACUUUGUUCUAUAUCCCAGGAGCAGAACAUGUAAGCUCUUGCCUCAGUGUAUUCAUCUUCCCUUUUAGGGACGGACAUAGGCUGUUGCUCACAAAGCAAGGGGGCUAACGUCUCAGACUCAAACCUUGAAACAUUUGUAACAUGCAGAGUCUAGGUGAGAGGCUGCUUCAUUUGGUAGUCAGCUAGCUCUCUUCUAUAUUCG
rnacentral:lncRNA from 1 species